rnacentral:rRNA from 1 species
UGGGGAAUAUUGCACAAUGGGCGAAAGCCUGAUGCAGCAACGCCGCGUGAGGGACGACGGCCUUCGGGUUGUAAACCUCUUUUAGCAAGGAAGAAGCGAAAGUGACGGUACUUGCAGAAAAAGCGCCGGCUAACUACGUGCCAGCAGCCGCGGUAAUACGUAGGGCGCAAGCGUUAUCCGGAAUUAUUGGGCGUAAAGAGCUCGUAGGCGGUUUGUCGCGUCUGCUGUGAAAACCCGAGGCUCAACCUCGGGCCUGCAGUGGGUACGGGCAGACUAGAGUGCGGUAGGGGAGAUUGGAACUCCUGGUGUAGCGGUGGAAUGCGCAGAUAUCAGGAAGAACACCGAUGGCGAAGGCAGAUCUCUGGGCCGUAACUGACGCUGAGGAGCGAAAGGGUGGGGAGCAAACAGGCUUAGAUACCCUGGUAGUCCACCCGUAAACGUUGGGAACUAGUUGUGGGGUCCAUUCCACGGAUUCCGUGACGCAGCUAACGCAUUAAGUUCCCCGCCUGGGGAGUACGGCCGCAAGGCUAAAACUCAAAGGAAUUGACGGGGUCAUAGCUGUUUCCU